rnacentral:rRNA from 1 species
UAGGGAAUCUUCCGCAAUGGGCGAAAGCCUGACGGAGCAACGCCGCGUGAGUGAUGAAGGUCUUCGGAUCGUAAAACUCUGUUAUUAGGGAAGAACAAAUGUGUAAGUAACUAUGCACGUCUUGACGGUACCUAAUCAGAAAGCCACGGCUAACUACGUGCCAGCAGCCGCGGUAAUACGUAGGUGGCAAGCGUUAUCCGGAAUUAUUGGGCGUAAAGCGCGCGUAGGCGGUUUUUUAAGUCUGAUGUGAAAGCCCACGGCUCAACCGUGGAGGGUAAUUGGAAACUGGAAAACUUGAGUGCAGAAGAGGAAAGUGGAAUUCCAUGUGUAGCGGUGAAAUGCGCAGAGAUAUGGAGGAACACCAGUGGCGAAGGCGACUUUCUGGUCUGUAACUGACGCUGAUGUGCGAAAGCGUGGGGAUCAAACGGG